AGCGAACGCUGGCGGCAGGCUUAAUACAUGCAAGUCGAGCGGGUGUAGCAAUACAUCCGCGGCAGACGGGUGAGUAACGCUUGGGAACGUACCUUUUGGUUCGGAACAACCCAGGGAAACUUGGGCUAAUACCGGUUAAGCCCUUACGGGGAAAGAGUUAUCGCCGAACGAUCGGCCCGCGUCUGAUUAGCUAGUUGGUGAGGUAAUGGCUCACCAAGGCGACGAUCAUUAGCUGGUCUGAGAGGAUGAUCAGCAACAUUGGGACUGAGACACGGUCCAGACUCCUACGGGAGGCAGCAGUAAGGAAUAUUGGACAAUGGGGGCAACCCUGAUCCAGCCAUGCCGCGUGAGUGAUGAAGGCCCUAGGGUUGUAAAGCUCUUUUGUGCGGGAAGAUAAUGACGGUACCGCAAGAAUAAGCCCCGGCUAACUUCGUGCCAGCAGCCGCAGUAACAC
rnacentral:rRNA from 1 species